rnacentral:rRNA from 1 species
AGAGUUUGAUCCUGGCUCAGAAUCAACGCUGGCGGCGCGCUUAACACAUGCAAGUCGCACGAGAAAGUGGAGCAAUCCAUGAGUAAAGUGGCGUACGGGUGAGUAACACGUGGAUCAUCUACCUCUUAGUGGGGAAUAACCCUGGGAAACCGGGGCUAAUACCGCAUAAGCCUGAGAAGGGAAAGCAGCAAUGCGCUGAGAGAGGAGUCCGCGGCCGAUUAGCUAGUUGGUAGGGUAAAGGCCUACCAAGGCAAUGAUCGGUAGCCGGCCUGAGAGGGCACACGGCCACACUGGCACUGAAACACGGGCCAGACUCCUACGGGAGGCAGCAGUGGGGAAUCUUGCACUAAUGGAGGAAACUCUGAUGCAGCGACGCCGCGUGAGCGAUGAAGCCCUUCGGGGUGUAAAGCUCUUUCGACGGG